GGCAGAAUAGAAAUUUCAUUCUUAUAAAAGUUUAUCAAAAGUCAGUUGUGUUUUUUUACUUUGUGACUCAAUGAAUUGAUACUGAUGUGGAUGUGUCAGUCUUCAUGACCACCGAGCAUCACUAUUGCUAAAACAGCACCAGAUAAAAUGAAAUAGUGUGUAGCAUAUAUAUAAAUAAAUAAAAAACAGAUUAACCAAAAAGAACUUUCUCUUUUCCAUCUCAGUAUCACACAAUUUUAAGGCCCAAUGAAGUUUUCUUGCCAAUCUAAAAGGCUUCCAACCGAUGACAAAUGCUUUUGAACAGUAAAUUUAAAGUGCAUGGAAACCAUAGAACAGGAAGCCAGGAACCAGAGAACACAGCACACAGCUCCUGAGCUGUUCCUUGGAUCUCUGACUUUGGGCAGUUCUAGCAAGCAGCCGUCCUGAUGGCCACUGCCUGAGCCCAGAGUGAUGGAUGGAGAGUGAGGCAGACACCAGCAUCCCUGCUGACAAGUAUUUGUUCCAGUCUGCAGCUCCCGUAGCUUGCAAGAACUUUGUUUCAAAGACGUCCGCUAUUGAUCACUGUCAAGACGAAGACAGGAGCCGGCUGGACCUUUAUCUGACCCAGCACAGUCAUCCUUGUGUUUGGGCAUCAUACAGCUCAAGCUUGCCAAAAGGCUUCCUUUCCAAACUUAGUAUGGCAGAGUCCUUAUUUACUGACAAAGUAAAGCCAGUGCCUUUCUUUUCCCUUAUCUCCUCUUUCCCCAUGCCUGAGACAGACUGCGUGCCACUGAGGGGCAGGUAUCUCCUCUUCUGCCACUUCUCCUUCUGGGGCUCACAAGCAACCAGGACGAGGGCUUCACUCUGCAUCCAGAGGGCUGCGGAGGUGGGAUGUGCUGUGACAUCCCCAACUGUCCCAAGGGAAACGUUUGUCAAUAUAUGCCAAAAGGUAAAACAAAUUAUGUUAACAAGGGAAAAAAAAAAUGUUAUUUUUGGAUCCAUUCCAAAAUAAACUUGUACUGCACCAAGUUAGUGUACGGAGACUGCUGGGGCAUUUGCAGUAGUCUGUAAUAGAGCUGCACGCCAGGAUGAGGAAUGCUGUUUAUUACUAGAAGAUUCAAAUACCCUUGGAUCUCUUUACCACAGCUGAUAGCAUAUAAGUGGAUCAUAUUACAGGAUCAG
rnacentral:lncRNA from 1 species